CGAACACCCUGUGCCUGUGCUUGCUGGUGCACAAAUGACCAGAGAUUCCUCCUGGGCCUUGAAGAGGCUAUUUUGAAAACUGCUCAGUGGCAGAUGAGGGAAACUUAUCUGUAUUAUUACAGAAGAGAGAGCAUUUCUGUCUCUUUACCUUGAAACAAAAUGGAGUCUUGGUAAGC
rnacentral:lncRNA from 1 species